UGCAAAUGCCAUGUUCAGACUUCUAUUGGUGAAUACGAGCGCCUUAAUUUUCACCACCAUGGAUAGCAACAUUUAAAUAACACCGGUUGGAAUUGUGCUGUCCACUCCAGCCUCCAGGAUUUUGCUUUUUCCACUUGGUCCUGCGGUUAUAAAACCAGAUUUUUACUUGGGUUUCCGUCAGGCUGAGAGACAGUGCGAGAAGAUUGAGCCUCUCACAGACGGACAGAUAGCGCGUGGUUUGAAACUUGUUUUCCAGAGCUACCAGCUGUUCGUGCGCGACUCGGUUUUGCACAGCCAUGUGCGGCGGCGUUUGAGUCGUCUUGUGUCAUUUGCGGCCAAGUGCUUUGUUUUAAAAGCGUUCAUCUUAACUUUAUGACUCAAAGUGAUCAAAUUCUAGUGUUGACUAUUGUGAGAGCAAAUGCAGGUUAACGAGAUGGUGCAUACCAUGGAUAUGCUCCUGGGCGAGUUCCACGAUUACCAGACUGCGUGGGAUAUCCCCUGAUGGAUGACGAGCUAUCCAGGAUGAAUAUAUACUGAAGACUCCGUUGCCAUGUCCCUGGCAUACGUAAUGAGGCGAGUAACUUGCCACGAGGGUGUCUGCCACUCGCCACACUGGAGCAUGUUUUGAAUACAAGGAUUGUUGGUGCAUAGGAUGUUCCUCUGGCUUUCUUGGCAUGUGCAGUAUAGAAGGCCUCAAGGUAUGGGACCUUUGGUGAGUCUUAGGCCCCGACGGGAGUCUCUACUGCCUCAUGGUGGCAGUCACACUCAUAAGGGCGUAAAGAACUAUUUUACAGACGGUCGCUGUUCAGUUGACCCGUAGCUGUAUCGGCAACAUUAAGGAAAGACUUCGUGGGAUUUCCCCUGAUGGAUGACGAGCUAUCCAGUCUUAAGGAUGAAUAUCUACUGAACACUCCGUUGCCAUGGCCCUGGCAUGCGUAAUGAGGCGAGUAACUUGCCAUGAGGGUGUCUGCCACUCACCAAACUGGAGCACGUUUUGAAUACAAGGAUUGUUGGUGCAUAGGAUGUUCCUCUGGCUGUCUUGGCAUGUGCAGUAUAGCAGGCCUCAAGGUAUGGGACCUUUGAUGAUUUCCCUUCCGAGGCUGUGGGUUCAUUUCAAGUUACUGAAGCCACACCCCAACUGAAAUAAAUAUAUUUGGGCUUUAAAUGGUUGUCUUGACUUAACUUGACAGGCAUGCAUUUCUGCAUCGACC
ensembl:lncRNA